AUUACAGCUGAAUAACAUGUUAUUCGAAGGUGUUACUUCUGAAUAACAAAACCGUUCGCACUAGCAUUUUAGGUAAUACUAUUUGACAGCUGACAGCAUGUGUCAAGCGCCAAAUUUUUUCGAGCAGUUUGUUGUUUGUUUACAAAUAUGCAGCGAGAUUCUUCAAAUUAGAAUUCAAUUAUUAUUAAACAAUUAAUCUGUUUGGGAUUAAAGAACUGUUCAGCAGUAAUGAGAUUUAUUAAUUUGCUAUUCUCUUCGUAAUUGCAAGAAGCGGACCAAACUCCGAAGGCGUGAGUUCAGUAUGGGAUGAAACUGAUAGUGAUUAGUGUGCGCCAAAAAGCCAGAAGUAUUUGUGUGCUCCGUUUAAAUUUUAUUUUGCUCAUUUUUCCUUCGGAAAUCGGCUAGGAACUGUGGUUACAAGUAGGUUUCGUCACCGGUGAAUGGGAUGUGAAGUUGAGGAUUCCAUAAAUAUUACACAGCUGGCUCGCGCAGAAAGCAUCGAUGGAGCCUGGAAGGUCAAGAUGGAUCAGAAAUAAUACAAUCGUUAGCAGCUGCGAGGCGAGCCAACGUGAAUUCAAGUUAAACAAAAUUGUAUCGCCAAAACAGUGUGACAAUGGAAUUCACGGAAAAACUUCAGGGCGAGAAAACAGGAUUCCUGGAACCCGAACUAACUCGAGAACUCUACGAUGGGAAUUCCAAAAAUAUUCAGUGUUAUCGUUUGGAGCGACCGACGGCUUUUUACUGUGAUGCGUCUAGUCCUUGGACCCAAUGGGAAGUGUCAUCAGUGUUGGUUGUCCUCCCCUAUUCGGUUAUAUCGUUGAUCGGAUUAUUCUGGACUUAUUUUAUAGAUCCAGUUUUGCUUAAAAGGUUACCAAUCGGAAAACCACAAGUUGCCGGUAGUGAUAGUAUUAUAAUUGGUUUUGAGAGUAAGAAACCCACCGUCGUUUCACCCACAAGAGGAUGUACGAAGUAACUUCCAAUUUUUAUGAUAAAAUAACAAUUAAACAACGCAGAAUGAUAUCGCACGUAAUCAUCAUCAGAUGAGAUAGUAUUAGUUGCCAAAAUCAGCUAAAACCAUUCAUCACAUUCCAUUUAUAUCUCAACUUAGGUGAACGAGGGCAGGCACGGAACUACGUUGCUGUGUUUUGCUAGGAAGGGAUCGUGAAGUACUACUAACUAUAAUAG